GGCCACUGGAAUAUACACUCACCUCACAUACACAGACUCCAUUCUUUUCUUUACAACAAUAUUCAAACACAACACACACUCAUUUAUCAUCUUCUUCGAUGAACACAUACUAACACACAUAUUCCUCCAUCACCAUAUUCAUAUACAUGUACACAACAGCACAACAAUGCUCACAUCACACAAUUCCAUUCACUGAUCUUGAACACAGAGCACCAUACGCACACACACCACCGCCAUAGAUGACCACACAUACUACAGAAAAAGGGGGAUUAUCUCACACUCAUCGGAUAUACACGCACUCAUCGGAGUUAACACACGCACAUACAAAAUUAGGAGAAGGGUGGAACAGUGAGAAAUUAAGGUGGGUCAUCAAAUUUUUCGGUGAAUUCCUCACUGGAAUUGGUAAUUUCUCAUUAGAUUUUGAUGUUGCCAGCCCCCCUAAUCUCUCUUAUACCACUAGAAAUAGGACAGAGAGAGUACGCCAGUGAGGUAGAGGAGAAAGUUGUUGACUUCCAGCCUCUGAUAUAGCUCCGGCGAUCUUUAUUCGCUGAAAAGACAUCAAAAUCUGAUGAAAAAUUAGUUCGGAUCUCGCGAUAAAAUUGGAAAAAUUGGGCUGUUGAAGUUGACUCUGGCGGGUUGAAUACUUGUCUUUUUGAGAUUUUCUAAUCUCUGUCUCGUAUUCUUCAUUUUUCUUUGUGGUUUUGAUUCGAGUCAGACAUCGGUUUUAUUGCGAAUUUGAACUGGUUCAUACCUGAUUUGGGGAGUCGAGAUCUUGGUACCUGUUGAGGUUAUUGAAGGGGACUUCUUUAUUAUCUCCGAUAUAUUGAAAUCGACAUUAAAGGUCCAAUCCUUCAACUCUCUCCUCUCUUUAUUUUGAUUUGGUGUAUUGAUUGUUGUGAAUGUGGGUUGAUGAUCGUGAUUGAAUGAUUUUAUUGAUGUUUGAUAUUGUUUAUUCAUGAAUAAUAGAUCGUGGAAUGAAUUUGCUGAUUGAGUAUAGGUUUGGAUAAUUGUUUCAUUUGAAAAUUCAUGAGUUAAAAGAAGGAAUUUGGGAAAGGGUUGAGAUUGAUGAAAUAAAAGUGGUUUAAUUUUGAUUCAUUAUUGUUGAUUUAAAUUGAAAUUAGUAGGCAAAUGCUAAGUGAGUAGGCAGAUUUAGGAAUAACGAUAUGUUGAGUGUUUGAAUAUGUGUGUGAAUGAUUCAUUCUAUUUUAUCGCACAACAAUUGAAAUUGUAUUCAUUUGGCCGGGGAAUGCCCCGAAGGAUUUGUAUUGAUUUAUCUAGGGAAUGCCCCAAAGUAUCAUGUAUGCAGAGGAGGCUUGUGAUCAAGGCCCGAAGCAUCGGGUAAGGCAUUAGAGCG
rnacentral:lncRNA from 1 species